AUCCUGGCUUAGGAUGAACGCUAGCGGCAGGCUUAACACAUGCAAGUCGAGGGGCAUCGGGAGUAGCAAUACUGCCGGCGACCGGCGCAAGGGUGCGUAACGCGUGAGCAACAUGCCCGUAUCAGGGGGGAUAAUCCAUGGAAACGUGGUCUAAUACCCCAUAGUAAUUAUGUAAGGCAUCUUAUAUAAUUUAAAGCUUUGGUGGAUACGGAUUGGCUCGCGUGACAUUAGCUAGAUGGUAAGGUAACGGCUUACCAUGGCUACGAUGUCUAGGGGUUCUGAGAGGAAGGUCCCCCCACACUGGAACUGAGACACGGUCCAGACUCCUACGGGAGGCAGCAGUGAGGAAUAUUGGACAAUGGAUGGAAAUCUGAUCCAGCCAUGCCGCGUGCAGGAAAGACGGCCCUAUGGGUUGUAAACUGCUUUUGUAUGGGAGCAAUAAGGGCUACGCGUAGUCCGAUGAGAGUACCAUACGAAUAAGCACCGGCUAACUCCGUGCCAGCAGCUGC
rnacentral:rRNA from 1 species